rnacentral:sRNA from 1 species
ACCGAAGUUCAAUUGAAUGUCCCAGUUGCAGGUUCAAUCGUGUCCCUCACAGCCCAGUUGAAGCUUUCUGAUUAGAGCUUCCAGCCAUGCCUUCAAAUCAUCCGAUUCAAGUCCGCGCAACCCGGCCAUUGUACCGAUUCGCCGCGACUGCUCUUGGAGCCAGCAUGUGGUUUUUCUUGAUGUAUCGCGCUAAGAAAGACGGUCCUGUUCUUCUCGGUUGGAAACACCCUUGGGAACAUUGAAUUGAUGUUUUUUACGAUGACUCAGAGCGGAGGAAAUGGAAAGGAGUAUUCCUAGAAAGAUAGAGCUCCACUAGGAAUGGAAUCAUACAGUCGUGUAUAACCUGACGCAUCGUCAGUGUCAUAGUAGUUCGAGGCAACGAGCAACUUCAAAUUCUCGAUAAGAAGAUGGAUGCUAUGGAUUGCAUGCAUUAGAGGAUAUAAUGGGUAUAAUAUUCUUUCUUUUCCUAUGGUCUCUUUCAAUAAGGCAUAAAAUCAAGCUAUAUGCUUUUGCAAAAUUCCUUAAACCCAUAAAUCUAUCCCAUUUUCUACCUCUUCUAAAUUCGAGUGGUGACAUCUGCGAUAGUAUAUAAUCCUGAAAGAGGGAAGUUUGUAUGAUAAGUCUAUGAUUCUUCAAGCAGAUUCUUAUACCGACGCCGCUGCUUUGCUUGAUCUGGACGAAGCCAGCAAUGAAUGUGACCAACAAGACGAGCCAAUCUGGGGAAAACCAAUCGUUCCCCAAGCCAUGCGAUUGAAAAGUUAACAAGUGCUAGCCCCAUAAUCCAAAACUUGAACCAAGUAGACAUUUCGGUAAGUUGCAUGAAAUUGAAUAACCAUUUCGCUGGUUCAAAUAGCAUGUAUGAGGAGAACAUAAAUGUAACUAUGAUGGUGACGACAAAGGGUACGUUCGAAGUCAUUGGUUGCCGGAAGGGGCGCCCUACGCUGAUUACAGGGCCAGAAAAUAUAUAUUCGAAACAGGACAGAAGGAAAAGUGCCGUGUUUUGGGAAUUUUUCACGUUUGUAUCGUUGAAUUUCUUUUUCGGUGGAAUAUACCAGUCUUGGAACUGAACAGUCUCAAAAACAAUGAGCUGCAUUAUGAUACAAAUACCGAUUUGACCGAGAAGCGGAACUAGAACUUUGAGGGAAACUAGAUUUGAGGUUGGAGUCUUGCGGCAAAGAAUAGAGCUUGGUCCAAUCCAACCCAUAAAUAUCGCAAUGGGCAGGAUCAAGAGAAGGUCGAUAAAUAAAUACUGGAAGUCACCUAGAUUGGAUGCUGAAGUAUAUAGAAAGCUCACAGAAGUGAACUGGAUGGCGGAAUAUAAACUCAUAAAUUUAAAGCAACAAAAGCUUGUAACUAAGGCCGCUCUUCCUUCCCUGAUCACUUGUGGUACGCAUGAUAUAUCAAACACUCGACUGGUAAACGGAGCCGCCACUGACGCCUCUGCCUCAGAGAGAGAAAUGCCAACAUCUGCGGCCUUCAGCGCUCCGCAGUCAUUCGCUCCAUCACCACAAAACCCGCAACAAUAAUCUAGAGACUGGAGUUUUUCGACCAGUUCAUGUUUUUCGUCAGGAGACAUGCGGGCAAACACUUGACCGCGAACAAGCAUCUUAUUUAGGACUUCCGUAGAGCCGUAAUCAACAAUCCAUCGAAAUAUAUCCCCAGUUACAGCUAUAGAGUAGUUAGGAUUGCGAUAUGGCACUGACAGAUCGGUGCCACCUCGAGUAGGAAUAGGCGUCAGUGUGUUUUCAUCGAGAAGACAGUCAGAGUUUUCUGUAUUCUCCCAGCUCAGACGCGCAUUGGGGUCGAACAUAUUUCCUUCAACAAACCGGGGUACAAAGCAUGGACUCGACGCGUCUAUAAUGCCGCAUUCUCGGGCGACACUGACACCUGUCAGGAUAUUAUCUCCAGUACACAUGAUGUUUCGGAUGUGAGCUUGGUUUAGUUCAGUGAUGACACCUUUGGAACUAGGUUUGAGCUUGUUUUCGAAGACAAUGAUGCCAAUGAAUUCGAGAUCAGAUUCGGCUUCCAGACGAUGUAGUUUUUGUACUUUUAUCCAACUGAGCUUCUGGAAAUGUUUUGCUGCACAGGCAAUAACACGGAAACCUCGAUGGGUGUAGAAGCUAAGCAGAUCUUCAAAAUCGGGAGGUAAACUUUCAGGAAGACAUAUGUCUUUCAUGCAUUCAGGGGCCCCUUUUACGAAUACGAAGGCACCUGGGUCGCCAAACUGUCGAGCUAUAACGCUUGACCGACGAAGUUGGGACACGAAUUCAAAUGACCUGAGGACACCGAGCUCGAAUGGUUUGCCAAUUGGGUCAGGAUCAUUAUAAUCAGGAGAAAAUUCAGCUGGUGGCCUGGCGAUAGAUGGAGAACCAUAGUCACGGUCCAUCUCUAUAUCUGCAGCAUUAUGGCUCCCUUCUUCAAAUGACCACCCAAUGAACUGGAACAUUUUCACAUCUAGGGGAUCACCAAUCAGUUCGCCAUCGACAAUCCGCAAGGAGUGGCACGUUGCCAUGGUAUAGAGAAUAUAUCUGUUUGCACGAUAGUCCACCAUGGGUUCUCUCUCAUACGACCGAUGAGGAAGAAUGGAUGAUGAUUCGGUGAGGAGGUCACUAAAUCUUAAGUCCGGUCCGCGAAUUACCCUAACCCCCAAGACAUCAAGACCGUCCUCCGUUAGAGUCCCCGUCUUAUCGAAACAAACUACAUUGAGCUUCCCGCCAACAUUAACCCUUUGAGGACUAAUGCAAAAAAUUUUCUCCUUUUUGAGCCGAGAGAGGGCAAAAUUUGUGCCAAUCGAUAGUGUAGCAGGUAGCGCGGGUGGAACAACAAUGGUGAUG